rnacentral:rRNA from 1 species
AACGAACGCUGGCGGCAGGCUUAACACAUGCAAGUCGAACGAGAUCUUCGGAUCUAGUGGCAGACGGGUGAGGAACACGUGGGAACAUCCCUUUCAGUUCGGAAUAACGUUGGGAAACUAACGCUAAUACCGGAUACGUCCUUCGGGAGAAAGAUUUACCGCUGAAAGAUUGGCCCGCGUCUGAUUAGCUAGUUGGUGAGGUAAUGGCUCACCAAGGCUACGAUCAGUAGCUGAUCUGAGAGGAUGAUCAGCCACGUUGGGACUGAGACACGGCCCAAACUCCUACGGGAGGCAGCAGUGGGGAAUAUUGGACAAUGGGCGCAAGCCUGAUCCAGCCAUGCCGCGUGAGUGAUGACGGCCUUCGGGUUGUAAAGCUCUUUUGUCCGGGAAGAUAAUGACUGUACCGGAAGAAUAAGCCCCGGCAAACUUCGUGCCAGCCGCCGCAGUAA